UACAGAGGGGGCAAGCGUUAUUCGGAAUUAUUGGGCGUAAAGGGCGCGUAGGCGGCAUGGCAAGUGGAUGGUGAAAUCCCUCGGCUUAACCGAGGAACUGCCGUCCAAACUGCUUCGCUUGAGACCGGGAGAGGUGAGUGGAAUUCCCAGUGUAGCGGUGAAAUGCGUAGAUAUUGGGAGGAACACCAGUGGCGAAGGCGGCUCACUGGACCGGUACUGACGCUGAGGUGCGAAAGCGUGGGGAGCAAACAGG
rnacentral:rRNA from 1 species